GUGUGGAUAGGGGAGAAAUUCCAAUCGAACCCGGAGAUAGCUGGUUCUCCUCGAAAUAGCUUUAGGGCUAGCCUCAUGGAUCAUUGAUGGGGGUAGAGCACUGAAUGUGCGCGGGGGCCACAAAGCCUACCAAACGCUAUCAAACUACGAAUACCAUACAAUGCAGACCAUGGGAGUCAGUCCGCGAGAGAUAAGUUCCGCGGGCAAAAGGGGAACACCCCAGAUCAACCGCUAAGGUCCCCAAGUUCACGUUAAGUGGAGAAGGAUGUGGAAUUGCACAGACAACCAGGAUGUUGGCUCAGAAGCAGCCACACAUUUAAAGAGUGCGUAAUAGCUCACUGGUCGAGUGAUUGUGCGCCGAAGAUGUCCGGGGCUAAACGUGACACCGAAGCGAUGGGUGCAUCUGAAGAAGAUGCGCGGUAGAGGAGCAAUGUGCAGAGGCAGAAGCCGUAUCGAGAGGCACGGUGGACACUGCACAAGAGAGAAUGCCGGUAUGAGUAGCGAGAGGCAUGCGAGAAACAUGCCCGUCGAAAGCCCAAGGUUUCCUGGGGAAGGUUCAUCCGCCCAGGGUAAGUCGGGGCCUAAGCCGAGGACGGAAGUCGUAGGCGAUGGACAGCAGGUGUAGAUUCCUGCACUACCGAUGGAAUGAAGCAGUGACACAGAAGGAUAACUCGAGCAGGGUGAUGGUCAACCCUGUGCAAGCAUCAAGGUUGGGUUGUAGUGAAGUACGCAAUCCUAUAAGCUGAGGUGUGAUGCGGACCGAAAUUUCAGUAGGGAAGCGAGUGAGUUCACGCUGGCGAGAAAAGCUGCUAGUACAUCCAAAGGUACCCGUACCGGAAACCGACGCAGGUGGGCGAGGAGAGAAUCCUGAGACGAACGGGAGAACCCUUGUUAAGGAACUCGGCAAAAUGACCCCGUAACUUCGGGAUAAGGGGUGCCUGCGAGAGCAGGCCGCAGAGAAUAGUCACAAGCGACUGUUUAGCAAAAACACAGGUAUCUGCGAAAGCGAGAGCUGACGUAUAGGUGCUGACACCUGCCCGGUGCUGGAAGGUUAAGGGAACAUGUUAGAGCAAUCGAAGCAUCGAACCGAAGCCCCAGUAAACGGCGGCCGUAACUAUAACGGUCCUAAGGUAGCGAAAUUCCUUGUCGGGUAAGUUCCGACCCGC
rnacentral:rRNA from 1 species